rnacentral:rRNA from 1 species
AAUGAACGCUGGCGGCGCGCCUAACACAUGCAAGUCGAACGGGACCGGGGGCAACUUCGGUUCAGUGGCGGACGGGUGCGUAACACGUGAGGAACAUGACCUUCGGCGGGGGAGUAGCCGGCCCAACGGCCGGGUAAUACCGCGUACGACCAUUUGGGGUACGAUCCCUGAAUGGUGAAAGCAGCAAUGCGCCGAUAGAGUGCCUCGCGGCCUAUCAGCUAGUUGGUGGGGUAACGGCUCACCAAGGCAACGACGGGUAGCUGGUCUGAGAGGAUGGCCAGCCACUA